rnacentral:snRNA from 1 species
AAGUAUUACAGCUCUUUUAGAAUUUGUCUAGCAGACUUUCCAU